UACGUAGGUGACAAGCGUUGUCCGGAUUUACUGGGCGUAAAGAGCGCGCAGGCGGUCGUUCAAGUCGAGGGGGAAAGCCCCCGGCUCAACUGGGGAGGGUCACUCGAUACUGAUCGACUCGAAGGCAGGAGAGGGAAGUGGAAUUCCCGGUGUAGUGGUGAAAUGCGUAGAUAUCGGGAGGAACACCAGUGGCGAAGGCGACUUCCUGGCCUGUUCUUGACGCUGAGGCGCGAAAGCUAGGGGAGCAAACAGG
rnacentral:rRNA from 1 species